rnacentral:rRNA from 2 species
GGUUAAGCGACUAAGCGUACACGGUGGAUGCCCUGGCAGUCAGAGGCGAUGAAGGGCGUGCUAAUCUGCGAUAAGCGCCGGUAAGGUGAUAUGAACCGUUAUAACCGGCGAUACCCGAAUGGGGAAACCCAGUGUGACUCGUCACACUAUCAUUAACUGAAUCCAUAGGUUAAUGAGGCGAACCGGGGGAACUGAAACAUCUAAGUACCCCGAGGAAAAGAAAUCAACCGAGAUUCCCCCAGUAGCGGCGAGCGAACGGGGAGGAGCCCAGAGCCUGAAUCAGCAUGUGUGUUAGUGGAAGCGUCUGGAAAGGCGCGCGAUACAGGGUGACAGCCCCGUACACAAAAGCGCAUGUGCUGUGAGCUCGAUGAGUAGGGCGGGACACGUGGUAUCCUGUCUGAAUAUGGGGGGACCAUCCUCCAAGGCUAAAUACUCCUGACUGACCGAUAGUGAACCAGUACCGUGAGGGAAAGGCGAAAAGAACCCCGGCGAGGGGAGUGAAAAAGAACCUGAAACCGUGUACGUACAAGCAGUGGGAGCACAGGUUUACCUGUGUGACUGCGUACCUUUUGUAUAAUGGGUCAGCGACUUAUAUUCUGUAGCAAGGUUAACCGUAUAGGGGAGCCGUAGGGAAACCGAGUCUUAACCGGGCGUUAAGUUGCAGGGUAUAGACCCGAAACCCGGUGAUCUAGCCAUGGGCAGGUUGAAGGUUGGGUAACACUAACUGGAGGACCGAACCGACUAAUGUUGAAAAAUUAGCGGAUGACCUGUGGCUGGGGGUGAAAGGCCAAUCAAACCGGGAGAUAGCUGGUUCUCCCCGAAAGCUAUUUAGGUAGCGCCUCGUGAAUUCAUCUCCGGGGGUAGAGCACUGUUUCGGCUAGGGGGCCAUCCCGGCUUACCAACCCGAUGCAAACUGCGAAUACCGGAGAAUGUUAUCACGGGAGACACACGGCGGGUGCUAACGUCCGUCGUGAAGAGGGAAACAACCCAGACCGCCAGCUAAGGUCCCAAAGUCAUGGUUAAGUGGGAAACGAUGUGGGAAGGCCCAGACAGCCAGGAUGUUGGCUUAGAAGCAGCCAUCAUUUAAAGAAAGCGUAAUAGCUCACUGGUCGAGUCGGCCUGCGCGGAAGAUGUAACGGGGCUAAACCAUGCACCGAAGCUGCGGCAGCGACGCUGAUGCGUUGUUGGGUAGGGGAGCGUUCUGUAAGCCUGCGAAGGUGGCCUGUGAGGGUUGCUGGAGGUAUCAGAAGUGCGAAUGCUGACAUAAGUAACGAUAAAGCGGGUGAAAAGCCCGCUCGCCGGAAGACCAAGGGUUCCUGUCCAACGUUAAUCGGGGCAGGGUGAGUCGACCCCUAAGGCGAGGCCGAAAGGCGUAGUCGAUGGGAAACGGGUUAAUAUUCCCGUACUUGGUGUUACUGCGAAGGGGGGACGGAGAAGGCUAUGUUGGCCGGGCGACGGUUGUCCCGGUUUAAGCGUGUAGGUGUGUGUUCCAGGUAAAUCCGGUUCACUUUAACACUGAGGCGUGAUGACGAGGCACUACGGUGCUGAAGCAACAAAUGCCCUGCUUCCAGGAAAAGCCUCUAAGCAUCAGGUAACAUCAAAUCGUACCCCAAACCGACACAGGUGGUCAGGUAGAGAAUACCAAGGCGCUUGAGAGAACUCGGGUGAAGGAACUAGGCAAAAUGGUGCCGUAACUUCGGGAGAAGGCACGCUGACACGUAGGUGAAGUGAUUUACUCACGGAGCUGAAGUCAGUCGAAGAUACCAGCUGGCUGCAACUGUUUAUUAAAAACACAGCACUGUGCAAACACGAAAGUGGACGUAUACGGUGUGACGCCUGCCCGGUGCCGGAAGGUUAAUUGAUGGGGUCAGCGCAAGCGAAGCUCCUGAUCGAAGCCCCGGUAAACGGCGGCCGUAACUAUAACGGUCCUAAGGUAGCGAAAUUCCUUGUCGGGUAAGUUCCGACCUGCACGAAUGGCGUAAUGAUGGCCAGGCUGUCUCCACCCGAGACUCAGUGAAAUUGAACUCGCUGUGAAGAUGCAGUGUACCCGCGGCAAGACGGAAAGACCCCGUGAACCUUUACUAUAGCUUGACACUGAACAUUGAGCCUUGAUGUGUAGGAUAGGUGGGAGGCUUUGAAGUGUGGACGCCAGUCUGCAUGGAGCCGACCUUGAAAUACCACCCUUUAAUGUUUGAUGUUCUAACGUGGACCCGUAAUCCGGGUUGCGGACAGUGUCUGGUGGGUAGUUUGACUGGGGCGGUCUCCUCCUAAAGAGUAACGGAGGAGCACGAAGGUUGGCUAAUCCUGGUCGGACAUCAGGAGGUUAGUGCAAUGGCAUAAGCCAGCUUGACUGCGAGCGUGACGGCGCGAGCAGGUGCGAAAGCAGGUCAUAGUGAUCCGGUGGUUCUGAAUGGAAGGGCCAUCGCUCAACGGAUAAAAGGUACUCCGGGGAUAACAGGCUGAUACCGCCCAAGAGUUCAUAUCGACGGCGGUGUUUGGCACCUCGAUGUCGGCUCAUCACAUCCUGGGGCUGAAGUAGGUCCCAAGGGUAUGGCUGUUCGCCAUUUAAAGUGGUACGCGAGCUGGGUUUAGAACGUCGUGAGACAGUUCGGUCCCUAUCUGCCGUGGGCGCUGGAGAACUGAGGGGGGCUGCUCCUAGUACGAGAGGACCGGAGUGGACGCAUCACUGGUGUUCGGGUUGUCAUGCCAAUGGCACUGCCCGGUAGCUAAAUGCGGAAGAGAUAAGUGCUGAAAGCAUCUAAGCACGAAACUUGCCCCGAGAUGAGUUCUCCCUGAGACUUAAAGUCUCCUGAAGGAACGUUGAAGACGACGACGUUGAUAGGCCGGGUGUGUAAGCGCAGCGAUGCGUUGAGCUAACCGGUACUAAUGAACCGUGAGGCUUAACCUU